rnacentral:tRNA from 1 species
CGCGCGGUCGCGCACGGUGACGGGCGCGCCCGGCCGCGCGCGCCGGGCAGAGGCGGUGGCCGCGGACGCGGUCGCGCAGCGCAUCCGCGCGG